rnacentral:lncRNA from 1 species
AAAAAGAUGAAUGUAGUGCCUUGUGCAAAACCAGAAAAGUCGCCACAUAUUCACAUGCUGCACUGUGAAUAAAACCACGGCCCACCUGCCGGCUGAGUCCACCCGGGGAGGAUUUCCUUUUAGAACAAUUGCCUGAUUUCACUGUAGGGAAUGCUGUGUGAGUGUUUUCCACAGAGAGGGGGUGGCAUCUGCUUAGCUGGAGGGCUGGCAGCUCACAGAAUCUGCCUGCAAUGGAUUCUUAAACAUGCAAACAUAGUUAAAGGGAUGCCAGACAGGAAGAGACCGGAGAACUGCUUGGAGCGAUGGAGGUUCAAAGGAAUAUCCAGUUGUUCAAAUCAAGCCAGGAGGGGUUGACAUCUCCCCACUGCCUGAGAGACGAUAGGUCAGAACGAAUCCUGCUUUUCCAUUCAAGUCCUGAGCUGGUGAACGUGACCCCAUCAAGACCAGCCGGCCAGGAUGGGUCCAGAGGAGAACAUCUGCCUUUGCAUCCACUCUUUUCUGCAUGGGAAGAUCCAGCAGCAGUGGAAGUCCCAACCGAUAAAUCCCCACGAGUGGCAUUUCUGGGCCAGGAAGCCUAA